CCUACGGGUGGCAGCAGUGAGGAAUAUUGGUCAAUGGCCGGAAGGCUGAACCAGCCAAGCCGCGUGAAGGACGAAGGUGCCAAGCAUUGUACACUUCUUUUGUCAAGGGACAAAAUCAGGCUCGAGAGCCUGACCGAGGGUCCUUGAAGAAAAAGCAUCGGCUAACUCCGUGCCAGCAGCCGCGGUAAUACGGAGGAUGCGAGCGUUAUCCGGAUUUAUUGGGUUUAAAGGGAGCGUAGGUGGAUUGUUAAGUCAGUUGUGAAAGUUUGCGGCUCAACCGUAAAAUUGCAGUUGAAACUGGCAGUCGUGAGUACAGUAGAGGUGGGCGGAAUUCGUGGUGUAGCGGUGAAAUGCUUAGAUAACACGAAGAACUCCGAUUGCGAAGGCAGCUCACUGGACUGCAACUGACACUGAGGCUCGAAAGUGUGGGUAUCAAACAGGAUUAGAUACCCCAGUAGUC
rnacentral:rRNA from 1 species